UUAAAUAUUAUCAUUUUUGUUUAAAAUUAUUCACUUCAAUAGUCGUGGAUGAAACUGUGGUCAAUUUGUGCAUAGUUUUAUUACUGUUGUUGAGCCUCCACAUGUAUUUUCUGUUGGACGUGGCCCACGUGAUUUAUUCAAAACGAUCUAUAAAAAUGCAGUCGGUUUAUUUAAGUUGAUAUAUAAAGAUACAAUAGAUCUAACAGUAUGAUGUAUCUGGACACGUUUUUGAUGGACGAACGUGAUUUAACAUUCUUAUAUUAAGUUAUAUAAAAAUAUAACAUACGGAAGUCCCGGUCUAAUCCUAAUCCUAAUUCCCGUGAUGGCUCCAUCUUCAGAAAUAAUGGGAUUAAACUCGAAACGUCCUAUCUAUUUUGUAUAUUACGAACGAAGACGAACCACGAGUAAGAAUUACCGUCUACAAUCCGGAUAUUGAAAUCAAAAUUAUGAUAGAAGGUACGAUUUUAGUUUCUUAUAAAGUCCUAACAUGUGAUAUCAGAGCCGUAUCUUAUACCGAAUUUUCGUUUCUUUUCGAAUUUCUUUUGAUUUUCUUUUUAUUAAAGAAUAAAUAAAUAAAUAAAUAAAUUUUGUUGAUCGAUUUGUAUUAAUGGUGAUAUCGGCCGGCCUCAAUCGAGACCGACAUUCGGAGGAACGACGUAACG
rnacentral:lncRNA from 1 species